rnacentral:rRNA from 1 species
GAUGAACGCUAGCUACAGGCUUAACACAUGCAAGUCGAGGGGUAACGAGAGAGAAGCUUGCUUUCCUUGUCGACGACCGGCGCACGGGUGAGUAACGCGUAUCCAACCUGCCCCCAACUAGGGAAUAACCUUGCGAAAGUAAGACUAAUACCCUAUAAUUUCCUCAGAUGUCAUCUGACGAGGAAUAAAGAUUUAUCGGUUGUGGAUGGGGAUGCGUCUGAUUAGCUUGUUGGCGGGGUAACGGCCCACCAAGGCAACGAUCAGUAGGGGUUCUGAGAGGAAGGUCCCCCACAUUGGAACUGAGACACGGUCCAAACUCCUACGGGAGGCAGCAGUGAGGAAUAUUGGUCAAUGGGCGGAAGCCUGAACCAGCCAAGUAGCGUGCAGGAUGACGGCCCUAUGGGUUGUAAACUGCUUUUAUACAGGAAUAAAGUUAGCCACGUGUGGUUAUUUGUAGGUACUGUAUGAAUAAGGACCGGCUAAUUCCGUGCCAGCCGCCGCGGUAA